rnacentral:lncRNA from 1 species
GGCUGCAUCUGGUCACAAGCUGAAUAUCUGGACCAUGUUAUGAGCUUGGACCAAGUGAUUUCCUGGUCCGGGAUGACUCUAGCCAGCCUGGGAAAGUAAUGGAACAUUUGGGUCAGCCCUAGGCCUAAGCUAGUCCAACCCUAAGAUUAAGGUAUUAGAAGUUCUCUCUGCCUCCAUCACUGAUCAAAGUGCUACACCUGCAAGCC